UUCUUAUCAAGAGCGGUGGAGGGACUGGCCCUAUGAUACCCGGCAACCGACCGAAAGGCACGGUGCUAAUUCCUGAAGGAUUUACAAUCCUAGAGAUGAGAU
rnacentral:ncRNA from 2 species